UCUCUGCUUCUGUUAUCUAUUUAGUUUCUCUGUAUUUUCUUUGACUUUCUCUCUACUUCUGUUAUCUAUUUAGUUUCUCGUUUGUAUUUUCUUUGACUUUCUCUCUGCUUCUCUUUUGUUCCGCGUAGUUUUCCGUUUCCAUUUUCUCUCACUUGUUCACUAGUCCUAUUUUUCUACGUAUUUUCAGAGUGAUUCAUCUAUCCGUGCUAAGUUUGGAUGUAUUUUUGGCCACAGCGACUUUCCAUUAACUCAAAACCUGCAUUUAUGAAGGAAUUUAGGCUAAUAACACUCUGAGAACAUGUGUUGAUGAGAAAUGAACGAGAUUAUCUGAGUGGAUGGGGCCGGAAAGGUUAAGGCCAUGGAGUAGUAGUAGUAGUAGUAGUAGUAGGAGGAGGAGGAGGAGGAGGAAUAGUAACAGUAAGAAAGGUUAUAUGUGCAGGACAGUGGUGGUAUUAGUAUUAGUAUUAUCAGUAGUAGUAGUAGUAGUAUCAGUAGUAGUAAUCGAAAUAGUAGUUGUAACGAUAGUAGUAGAACAAAGCAUACUAACUUUACCAACACUCAACACUUAUAUGCAAUACUCUACGAACGUGCACCUAACCCAAAUGCAACAUAUCCGUGACAUCUCAAAAACCUGUGAGAUUAUAAGCAACACAAAGACCCAUUCCCCAUAGAAACACAGAGGGGAUGGGAGGUGGGUGGGGAGACAGAGAGCGAGACGCAUAUGUGUACGUUACCUCACUCCCUUCCCCUUCUUUCCCUCCGGUCCCUCCCAGCCUCGAGGCCUCGUUAACACUGUGGGGAGGUUGUAUACAUUGUCAGGUGGGAAGGAUAUUAAUAGUCGAGGGGCCGCUGACCGCUCUAUACGCCGCCAGAAGGGAUAUUUGGGGCCCUGCGUAGGUUUGGUUUGGUUUGGUUUGGUGAGGUUUUGAUGAGUUUUGGUUUGGUGAGGUUUUGAUGAGUUUUGGUUUGGUGAGGUUUUGAUGAGUUUUGGUUUGGUGAGGUUUUGAUGAGUUUUGGUUUGGUGAGGUUUUGAUGAGUAUUGGUUUGGUGAGGUUUUGAUGAGUUUUGGUUUGGUGAGGUUUUGAUGAGUUUUGGUUUGGUGAGGUUUUGAUGAGUUUUGGUUUGGUGAGGUUUUGAUGAGUAUUGGUUUGGUGAGGUUUUGAUGAGUAUUGGUUUGGUGAGGUUUUGAUGAGUAUUGGUUUGGUGAGGUUUUGAUGAGUUUUGGUUUGGUGAGGUUUUGAUGAGUAUUGGUUUGGUGAGGUUUUGAUGAGUAUUGGUUUGGUGAGGUUUUGAUGAGUAUUGGUUUGGUGAGGUUUUGAUGAGUUUUGGUUUGGUGAGGUUUUGAUGAGUAUUGGUUUGGUGAGGUUUUGAUGAGUAUUGGUUUGGUGAGGUUUUGAUGAGUAUUGGUUUGGUGAGGUUUUGAUGAGUAUUGGUUUGGUGAGGUUUUGAUGAGUAUUGGUUUGGUGAGGUUUUGAUUAGUUUUGGUUUCGUGAGUUUUAGUAAGUUUGUUUGGUGUGUUCGAUUCACGGAGGCGAUUCUAAUGGAUAAAUAAAUAUGAUGAUGGAUAUAAAGGAAGUUGAUGCUUGUAGUUUGAUAGUAUGUAUUUCAGUUGACAGGUUUGAACGACAUAAUUAGAGAUCACAUCAGACAGACGGGGCUUUCUUUAUCCACCAACUAACUGUUCUUGCCGCUUGUCUCUGUCUCCUACUCUUUCCUCCUCUUCAUGUCCUUUACCCUGUAGUUAUUAUACCUUACUUCCCUUAAUACUAACCUUAUACCCUUCCUUUAUCUCCUAUCCUUAGUUCCUUCCUCUUUCCCUUGCUGUACCUUCCCUACUCAUCCAUUCCCUUUUCUUGCCUUACCUUUGCUUAACCCCUUGACUGCGGAUUUCCUACAAGAAGACAUCACCAAGCUACAGGAAUGGAACAAAAAGUGGCUGCUACAAUUCAAUGAAGAAAAAUGUAAAGUCCUGCACCCUGGGAGGAGAUAUCAAGCACACCAAUACCACAUGGGAAACACUCCAGUAUCCACCACAGAGGGAGAGAAAGACAUGGGACUAUAUAUAUUACCAGGCUACCACUGAAGGCCAAAUCCAUGACAAUCGCAGCGGACGGGUUAAGAAGUGCACUUUAUUCACGACCACUUCUUGCUUUACUCAUCCUACCCUGCCUACCUUCUCCCCGCAGACCAAACACGAUAUCAUCUCUUCUAGUUCCCUAUAUCUUUCUGCUUUAGCCUUGAUUAGAAGUACAUCCCUCUGUCUAUUCUUCACCCCUGCAAAACAAACAUUACAGCUUCCCCACUCAUCCACUUCCUAUCCUUGCUUUACUCUUCCCUCGCUGCCUCCAUCGCCCCAACCGCAAACACACAUCAUCCCAAUUCAUUCACUUCCUUUUCG